CAGUAAUGCGUUUCGGUUUGAAGGGU
rnacentral:piRNA from 1 species